UACGUAGGUGGCAAGCGUUGUCCGGAUUUACUGGGCGUAAAGAGCGCGCAGGCGGUCGUCCAAGUCGCGUGUGAAAGCCCCCGGCUCAACUGGGGAGGGUCACGCGAUACUGGUCGACUCGAAGGCAGGAGAGGGUAGUGGAAUUCCUAGUGUAGAGGUGAAAUUCGUAGAUAUUAGGAAGAACACCAGUGGCGAAGGCGGCUCACUGGCCCGGUACUGACGCUGAGGCGCGAAAGCGUGGGGAGCAAACAGG
rnacentral:rRNA from 1 species